ACCUCCUCAAUCGCAUGGUGGGGGGUGGAAAGCUUUAUUGUGGUUUUGGAUGGACUCGCGGCCUAUCAGCUUGUUGGUGAGGUAAUGGCUCACCAAGGCGACGACGGGUAGCCGGCCUGAGAGGGUGACCGGCCACACUGGGACUGAGACACGGCCCAGACUCCUACGGGAGGCAGCAGUGGGGAAUAUUGCACAAUGGGCGAAAGCCUGAUGCAGCGACGCCGCGUGAGGGAUGACGGCCUUCGGGUUGUAAACCUCUUUCAGUAGGGAAGAAGCGAAAGUGACGGUACCUGCAGAAGAAGCGCCGGCUAACUACGUGCCAGCAGCCGCGGUAAUACGUAGGGCGCAAGCGUUAUCCGGAAUUAUUGGGCGUAAGAGCUCGUAAGCGGUUUGUCGCGUCUGCCGUGAAAGUCCGGGGCUCAACUCCGGAUCUGCGGUGGGUACGGGCAGACUAGAGUGAUGUAGGGGAGACUGGAAUUCCUGGUGUAGCGGUGAAAUGCGCAGAUAUCAGGAGGAACACCGAUGGCGAAGGCAGGUCUCUGGGCAUUAACUGACGCUGAGGAGCGAAAGCAUGGGGAGCGAACAGGAUUAGAUACCCUGGUAGUCCAUGCCGUAAACGUUGGGCACUAGGUGUGGGGGACAUUCCACGUUUUCCGCGCCGUAGCUAACGCAUUAAGUGCCCCGCCUGGGGAGUACGGCCGCAAGGCUAAAACUCAAAGGAAUUGACGGGGGCCCGCACAAGCGGCGGAGCAUGCGGAUUAAUUCGAUGCAACGCGAAGAACCUUACCAAGGCUUGACAUGAACCGGAAACACCUGGAAACAGGUGCCCCGCUUGCGGUCGGUUUACAGGUGGUGCAUGGUUGUCGUCAGCUCGUGUCGUGAGAUGUUGGGUUAAGUCCCGCAACGAGCGCAACCCUCGUUCUAUGUUGCCAGCGCGUUAUGGCGGGGACUCAUAGGAGACUGCCGGGGUCAACUCGGAGGAAGGUGGGGACGACGUCAAAUCAUCAUGCCCCUUAUGUCUUGGGCUUCACGCAUGCUACAAUGGCCGGUACAAAGGGUUGCGAUACUGUGAGGUGGAGCUAAUCCCAAAAAGCCGGUCUCAGUUCGGAUUGGGGUCUGCAACUCGACCCCAUGAAGUCGGAGUCGCUAGUAAUCGCAGAUCAGCAACGCUGCGGUGAAUACGUUCCCGGGCCUUG
rnacentral:rRNA from 1 species